GAUGAACGCUGGCGGCGUGCCUAAUACAUGCAAGUCGAGCGAACGGACGAGAAGCUUGCUUUUCUGAUGUUAGCGGCGGACGGGUGAGUAACACGUGGAUAACCUACCUAUAAGACUGGGAUAACUUCGGGAAACCGGAGCUAAUACCGGAUAAUAUUUUGAACCGCAUGGUUCAAAAGUGAAAGACGGUCUUGCUGUCACUUAUAGAUGGAUCCGCGCUGCAUUAGCUAGUUGGUAAGGUAACGGCUUACCAAGGCAACGAUGCAUAGCCAACCUGAGAGGGUGAUCGGCCACACUGGAACUGAGACACGGUCCAGACUCCUACGGGAGGCAGCAGUAGGGAAUCUUCCGCAAUGGGCGAAAGCCUGACGGAGCAACGCCGCGUGAGUGAUGAAGGUCUUCGGAUCGUAAAACUCUGUUAUUAGGGAAGAACAUAUGUGUAAGUAACUGUGCACAUCUUGACGGUACCUAAUCAGAAAGCCAUGGCUAACUACGUG
rnacentral:rRNA from 1 species